CUGUUUACGUAACGUUAGCUAGCUAACUGUAGACUAACUUGCACGAAAUACAAUACGAGUAAAAUACCAAAAGAAGCCUUAGGCUCACGAGACUCCAAGAGUGGAACCAUGGAAGUGGUGCGGCUAUUUACAGACCUACUAGCAGUGCACAGACAGCAGCUACAAGCCCUGACUGUACAGGGAGAGAUCCAGAUUCUAUGGUACAGUUACUGGAGAAGGAGAUGCUCAGGAGAAUGUAGCCCAAUGUGAAGCUGGAGGAAGUGGAGGAUCAAGCCUGAGCCCAGUCAGGGCAGAACAGAGACUACAGCAGCAGGGCUUCAGCUCUAUAAGGUACGACCCAGAGAGACCGCCCAGGGAGCUGGGGAAAGGGCUGGAGAGUGCUGCCCAUUACUGGCUCCGAGGAGGACAGCUGUGGAUGUGGUGAGGUGUGUGGCCCUGCAGAGUUCUGUAUCCCUUCUUCCCAAAGACGUUGGAGACUGAGUGCUGAAGCAGUCCCCCCAGGAGAUGGAGGAAACUAUCUGCAUGGCUAAGGAGUACCUGAACAACACACCUGGGGAGUAGAGCAGUGAGAUGGACAACCACUCUGAUGGAGAGGGGUACUCUGUAGACCAACAGAGAGAAGAAACAGCAGGACAUGCAGAACCUUAAGUUAACUGUGAGAAGAUUAAAGUCACAGGACUGUGCCCAGGGUUGUUUCUGAAGAGGAUAGAUGUGUCGAGUCUGCCUGUACUUUAGUUUCAAUAUAGAUGCCAGACAUCUGGAUGACAUUUACAGUGAGGAUAGGAGACUUGAUGGGGAAGAUGAUUUUGCUGAACAUGAGGGCUGGGUUAAGGAGGAGAUAAAAUACAAUAGCCAGUCUGAAGUAAAGGUUGAGAUCGGGUCAGCCUCUGAGAUGGGACAGUCUGUUGACAUGGCAAGAAAUACUGAGAAGGUUGAGAGGGGUCAGCUAAGAAACAUAGCAAAUCAGAUGCCUGUCUCUGGGAGGGCCAAGAGAUGUGUAUCUACCCAUCAUCUCCUCGUCCAGCCCUAACACCGCUGAGAGAGACCCUCUCCUACCUGAAACGUAAAAACAAAAGAUCCCUCCCAUAGACCAAGCCACUGCUGUCCUGACUGUGGUAAGAACUACAAACAGGCAGACUUUGUCAGUAAACACAGUUGCAGUGCCUUCCCUAAAUUCCACUGACUGUGACCAAACCUUUACUUCUCAGACAUGCCUGACCCACCACCCCAGAAUCAAUAAUACGGUAGUGGGCUGCCCUGAGUGUGGAAAGCAGUUCAGGGACAAGUAUAAUCAGAAAUCUUACGAGGACACACACAGGUGAGACCACUUAUACAUGUAUAGACUGCGGGGACGUCUGUUUUCAGCUGAAAGGGCUACAGGAGAAACAGCAACAUCUACACAGGAAAAGGCCAUUCUGCUGCAGUGUGUGUGGGAGGGCUUCCAUCACAGCCACAACCUGACAAAACACAAGCUUCUUCACUCCCAGGCAAAGCCCUUCCUCUGUACCCGCUGUGGAAAGAGCUUUAACCUCAAUGACAAGAUGCUGAGGCAUCUGAGGACGGUGCACGAUGAAAGCAUGUUCCCUUGGAUGUGGUACAGCGGAAGGGCAUCUUCCCCUAACCCUGCCUUGUGUCACGUUCUGACCUUUAUUUCCUUUGUUUUGUAUUUAUUUAGUAUGGUCAGGGCGUGAGUUGGGUGGGCAGUCUGUUUGUAUGUUUCGGCCUAGUAUGGUUCUCAAUCAGAGGCAGGUGUCAUUAGUUGUCUAUCAUUGAGAAUCAUACUUAGGUAGCCUGGGUUGCACUGUUUGUUUGUGGGUGAUUGUCUAUGUUGAUUGCUUGUGUCAUCACAGUUCUCAUUUAGCUUCACGGUCGUUAUUUGUUUUUUGUAUUCAGUGUUCAGUACUUUCUUUAAUUAAAUAUCAAGAUGAACACAAACCACGCCGCAUUUUGGUCCGCCUUUCCUUCAACAGAAGAAUCCCGUGAAACCUUGUUAAUAAUGCUUACAUCUCAGAUCCUUUCAACUGCUUUAGUCCCAAACCAGCUAACUAAAUUAUUCCAUAUGUUCAACAAUAAACAUUUAACAUCAGCUUUAGUGGACAUAAUUUAUUAUCCACAUUAAUCUAGCAACAUUUAAGUUACUACACCAGUUUCCCCAUGACGAACAUUUAAAGAAGCACAAAGACUAUUUUGGAUCUACAGACUGAGUCCCUGGCAAGUGUGACCAAUGAGUGCAGGUACUAUGAUUGUAACGGGUGGCAGGUAGCCUAGUGGUUAGAGCUUUGGGCCAGUAACCCAAAGGUUGCUGGAUCAAAUCCCUGAGCUAUUCUGUUCCCCGGGUGCCAUGGAUGACGAUUAAGGCAGUCCCCCACACCCCUCUGAUAUUAAACAGCAUGAUCAUUACACAGGUACCCCUUAUGCUGGGGACAAUAAAAGGCCACUCUAAAAUGAAGUUUUGUCCCACAACACAAUGCCACAUGUCUCAAGUUGAGGGAGCCUGCAAUUGGCAUGUUGACUGUAAGAAUGUCCACCAGAGCUGUUGUCAAGAUAAUUUUAAUGUUAAUUUCUCUACCAUAAGAGACUUAUUUCCUCAUAUGAACUGUAACUCAGUAAAAUCUUUGAAAUUGUUGCAUUUGGCGUUAAUAUUUUUGUUCAGUAUAAUUGUAGCCUCGGCUCCCGGAUGCUGUAACUGUAUCGAAGCUGUGCAUGGAAGUAA